rnacentral:lncRNA from 1 species
CACCAGCUGUGGCCUUGGGGAGCCCCCUCCCCACUACCACUUCAUGGCGCCCACCCACUACCGUUGCCCUCAUCAGCAAGGACAGCUUUUAUGAGCAUUCAACAGAAGUCACCGCCUGGAUCACUCACUCCAGGGGAAGCUGGCUGCUGAGUCAUGAAGAGGUCCAUGCAGCCCUCCGGAGAAGCCCAUGGGAGACACUGAGGCCUCCAGCCAACAGCGACCAACCCCUUGCUAGGGGUGAGGAAGACUCUUGGAAGACUGUUCAGCCCCAGAAAGCCUUGAGGUGAUCAUGGCUUAGACCAGCAUCUUAGCUGCAACCUCAUGGGAGACCUAGAGGCAGAGCCAUCCAGCUGGGCCAUUCCCUGGCUCCUGCCCUGCAGAAGCCCUGUGAUACCGUAUAAUUUGAGACAUUACUCAGUUCUAAGCUCAGAGAGGAGACUUCUUUUCAAGGUCAUUGCAUACGGUUGAGCAAGUUGGCCACUGCACAAACAUGCCCAGCAGAGUUGAUUUUCCAGCAAACCUUCAGAGGGAGAAGGAGAAAUUGUCCCUCGGCCCCUACAGUUUUGGCACUGUGAGCAGGAGACUGACACCAUUCUGCUCUCCUGGGAGCUGCAGUGAAGGAAACCCAGGACCUGACAAACUGGCAGAAGGAACAGAAGCCUAUGAUGCAGAUGUGGCCAAUCAGUGCCCUGGGGCUCCAGCAGCAGUGCAGGAAUGCGGAACUGAUCAUAAAGAUCCAACCAGCAUGAAGAAAUUCUGACACUGGAGGAAGGGCUACCGGGAGAAAACAUUUCUCUUUUCCCCAGCCAGCUGUCAGCUAGCCUGAGAGAAUGUGAGGCUGGGGCUACCAUCUUGCCACUAUGAAGAGAGAACCUGCUGAGCAAGGAGGCAACACAGAGCCAGAUAUGGAGAGAAAUAAGCAGUCUUGGAAUGCUGUUUCAUCCUCUGGAUCAAACCAUUCCUGAAGGUAGCACUUUCUAUUCUGACCCUUCAAUUACGGGGUUCAUUGAAUUCCCUUUUUGUUUAGCCAGUUUACAUUCGGUUCUAUGUCACUUGCAAACAAAAUCCUUCCAACAGAUGCACUCGAUGGCCACAGGCCAAAGUCAGUGUCUCCUGGAGUGGCAGCUCUGAGACGUGUCCACAUGGGACCACAGUGUAGAGAAGCCACACACCACCAUGGUGCUCCUGAACCAGAAGAGAUCAUGGGCUUCUAUAGAGGGGGGUGAGCCAGGUACAAGGCAGUGGAGUAGGAAAACCUGGGCUGGGGCCAGCCACAGUGACUCACACCUGUAAACCCAGCGCUUUGGGAAACAAAGGUGGAAGGAUCGCUUGAACCCAGGGGUUUGAGAACAGCCUGCACAACAGAGACCUCCUCUUUAACAAAAAUAAAAUAAUUUUCCAGGUGUGCCUGUAGUCCCAGCUACUUGGGAGACUGAGGAGGGUGGAUUGCUUGAGCCCAGGAGUUUGAGGCUGCAGUGAGCCAUGAUUGGGUCACUGCGCUCCAGGUUGAGCAACAGAGCCAGGCCCUGUCUCAAAAGAAAAUGAAAAAACAAAAAAUACCCCUAGGCUGGAGUUCAGCUCCAAACUUGACAAUCUGAUCCUGUGGGCUUGCAACCCUGCUCCUAAGCAGCAUUUUUCUAUUUAUCUACCUGUCACUGUCCCUCAGGCCUGGUGCUGUUGCAGAGCUUCCUGGAAUAGACCAGUGCAGUCCCCUUGCUGUCUAGAGACCUUCAUUUUUCUUUUUUCUUUUUCUUUUUUUUUUUUUUGAAAUGGAGUCUUGCUCUUGUCACCCAGGCUGGAGUGCAAUGGCAUGAUCUCAGCUCACUGCAACCUCCACCUCCCAGGUUCAAGCAAUUCUUCUGCCUCGGCCUCCCGAGUAGCUGGGAUUACAAGUUCCUGUAAAAUUAGCCUGGCUAAUUUUUGUACAUUUAGAAGUGAUGGGGUUUCACCAUGUUGGCCAGGCUGGUCUUGAACUCCUGGCCUCAGCCGAUCCAUCCAGUUUGGCCUCCCAAAGUGCUGGGAUUACAGGCAUGAUCCACCGCGCCUGGCCAAGACCUCCAUUUUUCACAUAUAAUUAAAAUAAAAUGUGAGGAAAUAGAAGCGACCUGACACAUGUGCGAUGCACUUUGGUAUUUUACUUUUCAUUUCUAUGGAAAUGUGAGUCCGAGGCACACCCUGCAAGGCAUGCUGGGACAGAAACCUGGCCUGUGAUGGCUCCUGGGUGGGUUGGUCCAGGGACCCUUCUCAGAAGCACCAUCCUGCCCCAGAGACGGCCCUGAAAUGACCCAAAAGUUCCUGAUCACACCAGCUGCGGGCACAUUCACUGAUUCACUUACUCAUUCUCCGAGCCCCUGCAUCGAGCUGGCCUUUGCGCUGAGCCUGGGACUCAGGGGCGAAUUCAUCAGAGCUUAUAGUCAAGGAGGCAGACACAUGUUUGUGUUUAUAACACAGCAUAGAAAGUGGUGGCAAAUCCAGGCUCCUGGUGUCUGGGUCCUUGGUGGAGGGGCACCUGGCCUAGCCUGCAGCCCUGUGAGUGGCCGUGGUCACCUCG